UUGAACUUUUAAGAUCGGUUAUGGUAAUAGCCGAUCUUAAAAACGAGACUUUUAAGAUCGGCUAUUACCAUGACCGAUCUUAAAAGUCCAG
rnacentral:miRNA from 1 species